GAUAGCAAUAAAACUUCCUAACUCCAAACAUUGCAACCUCAAAUGAAAGGACAACCUGGCGGUCUUUAAUGAGUGGUACAUUGAAACCUUGUUUUCCUUUGCUUUGCGGUUGGUGGAGAAGACAGUGACAGGCACUAACCCUCUUCCACAUGAGUCAAAACAAGAGCUUGCAUGGCAGCUAAUCCUGUGAGAUCAUGGAAGGGUGCAGGAGCAGCUCUGGGUUAUUAUUUCAUCAAGCUGGCAGAUGCCUAGAAGAUCACACGAUACAAUUAUCUCAGCCUCCAGAAGUUCAAGCUACCUGAAUGUUAACUGCAUUGAUUUGAAUGUGCUUGUAAAUGAAUCAUGAGGAUGUCAACAGGCUGGUGUCUGACUCUCACAGGGGACUUCACAAGCCAGGAAUGACCUCAGCAAGCCCAAAGCAAAGGAUUUGAUCAGAGGCUUAUGUCAGAGGGCAUAUGCUAAAGAACCAGAGCAACUGCUUGUGGGGCCAUGCUCUGCAACCAGAAAAGUGAAACCAGCUUUUGGGUUUGGUUGUGUUUUUUUCUACAAACACAAGGCUUUCUCCUUUAACCUGGUCCAGUCUGCAGUCUGUAUUGGUCUCACAAGGAUUUUCAUAAGGAUGACCUAGAGGUUGAUGAAUAGCAGUGGAUGGGCAAGGAAGGACCAUAAUAUACUCAAGUGGGCUCUGCUCUGCAGGUAGCUGAAGGAAGCUGUAUUUGUGGGGUCCUGAAUAUGCCAUUUUCUGGGGCAUUUUGCCUUAGCAAAGCUAAAUGCGUACGUCAUGGUGGUGUGGGUUGAAAGAAACCACCAAAAGAAAUGUUGCCUGCAUCUGCAGGAAUUGAACUGAAGAGUGAUUUCUAACUAUUCAUGCUUCUGAAAUGUUAGAAGUGGAAAUCUGUUAUCGGGAUGAGAAUUUGGAUUAUGGAAGAGAAUUAACAAAGCCCUAUAACCAAACUGGUUAUUUGCACACCCACAAAAUGUCCUGAGAUUUAGAAGAUCACAUCUGAAUUCUUGAUCAGGUAUUUGGGCUUGAUCUCUGCUAACCCAGUGAAGAGCUUAUGUCCCUGGCAGAAACUGAGGAAAGUUACGGAAAUACUGGAGUUUCUUAGACUAGAGAAAAUAAUUUCAUAAGUAAUGCUAAUUAGAAGAGAAUUGUUAAAAUUUUCAGAAGACAUUUCUGUUGGUGGGGAGAACUGGAGGUGGAUCUCUGAUCCUAGUUCAGUAUUCUAUUCUGAAUUAACCUUUUACAGCGUCUGUCCAUGUUAUACUGAACUACUUUGCAACUAGGAACACUUGUCACUGCUAAAAUACAUUGCCACAUAUGCUUUCCAUGUAUCUUC